rnacentral:lncRNA from 1 species
AAGUAACUACACUAAACCAUUUUCAAGUCAUUAAUUCACUUCUCAAGUAACUACACUUGAUUAAUUUGAAGUCACUAGUACACAUUUAAAAACACUACACACAACCAUUUUUAACUCUCUAAUUAACUUCUCAAGUGACUAAACUUAAUCAAUUUCAAGUCAUGAAUUAACAUUUCAAGUAUGAACACUAAACCAAUUUCAAGUCAUGAAUUUACAUUUUCAAGUGAUUACACUUUACAAAUUUUAAAACACAAGUUCACCUUUCAAGAACUACACUAAACCAUUUUCAACUCGAUGAUCCACUUUUCAAGUGACUAGUACACAUUUCAAAACGCUAUACUUAACCAUUUUCAACUCUCUAAUUCACUUCUCAAGUGACUAAACAUAACCAUUUUUAAGUCAUGAUUCACAUUUCAAGUAUCAACACUAAACCAAUUUCAAGUCAUGAAUUCACAUUUUCAAGUGAUUACACUUUAAAAAUUUUAAAAUACAAGUUCACCUUUCAAGAACUACACUAAACCAUUUUCAACUCGAUGAUCCACUUUUCAAGUGACUAGUACACAUUUCAAAACGCUAUACUUAACCAUUUUCAACUCUCUAAUUCACUUCUCAAGUGACUAAACAUAACCAUUUUUAAGUCAUGAUUCACAUUUCAAGUAUCAACACUAAACCAAUUUCAAGUCAUGAAUUCACAUUUUCAAGUGAUUACACUUUACAAAUUUCAAAACACAAAAGUUCACCUUUCAAGAACAACACUAAACUAUUUUCAAAUUGCUAAUCCACUUUUCAAGUGCCUAGUACACAUUUCAAAAAACUACACACAACCAUUUUCAACUCUCUAAUUCACUUCUCAAGUAACUAAACUUAACCAAUUUUAAGUCAUUAAUUCACUUUUCAAGUAUCAACACAAAACCAAUUUCAAGUAAUGAAUUCACAUUUACAAGUGAUUACACUUUUAAAAUUUUAAAACACAAGUUUACCUUUCAAGAACUACACUAAACCAUUUUCAAGUCGGUAAUCCACUUUUCAAGUGACUAGUACACAUUUCAAAAUACUACACUUAACUAUUUUCAAAUCUCUAAUUCACUUCUCAAGUGACUAAAUAUAACCAUUUUCAUGUCAUGAAUUCACAUUUCAAGUAUCAACACUAAAUCAAUUUCAAGUCAUGAAUUCACAUUUUCAAGUGAUUACAUUUUAUAAAUUUCAAAACACAAGUUCACCUUUUAAGAACUACAUUAAACCAUUUUCAAGUCGCUAAUACACUUUUCAAGUGACUACUACACAUUUCAAAACACUACAUCAAGUCGCUAAUACACUUUUCAAGCGACUAGUAAACAUUUAAAAAUGUUAACCAUUUCAACUCUCUAAUUCACUUCUCAAGUGACUAAACAUAACCAUUUUCAAGUCAUGAAUUAACAUUUCCAAGUGAUUACUCUUUACAAAUUUCAAAAUACAAGUUCACCUUUUAAGAACUACACUAAACCAUUUUCAAGUCGUUAAUCCAUUUUUCAAGUGACUAGUACACAUUUCAAAACACUACACAACCAUUUUCAACUCUCUAAUUCACUUCUCAAGUGACUAAACUUAACCAAUUUCAAGUCAUGAAUUCACAUUUUCAAGCGAUUACACUAUACAAAUUUCAAAACACAAGUUCACCUUUCAAGAACUACACUAAACCAUUUUCCAGUCGCUAAUCCACUUUUCAAGUGACUAGUACACGUUUCAAAACACUACACUUAACCAUUUUCAGCUCUCUAAUUCACUUCUUAAGUGACUAAACUUAAACAUUUUCAAAUCAUGAAUUCACAUUUCAAGUAUCAACACUAAACCAAUUUUAAGUCAUGAAUUCAUAUUUUCUAGUGAUUACACAUUACGAAUUGAUGUUUAACCAUUUUCGUUCUUCAAUAAUGCUUAUAAAUUAUUUGGGUCCUAUAAUUAUCUAAGAUACUCAUGAGAUCAUUUACUUAACUUCCACUACAUUUUAUCCAUUAUGUGGUCCUAAAAUUCUAUUAACUCUCUAAAUUUUUAAAAUAUUUUGUCAGAGUUUCCUUUGUAAAUAGGCCUAUAGCAAACCGGUCAGCUAAUCAGAAUACAUAUAAAUACACUUCAGAAAGAAUUACAA